rnacentral:lncRNA from 10 species
GAAAAACAGUUUUUAGGGAUGCUAUACAGAACGUGAUUUGUGUCAUUUUGUGUGAAUUUACAAUAGUAACUAUAUCUUAGCAUCAAAGUACAGAACAUAACGUGGAAAAGCUUGCAUAUUUCAGGAAGACUAUACUAGCUCUGUGAUGUUGAGUAAAUUACUUAACCUUCUUUGUCUUAAGGUCCUCAUCAGCAACUUGGAGAUGAAAUAGUACCUAUCUUACAUAACACAGUACUUGGGACAUAGUAAGCCCUGAAAUGUUAAGCUACUGUGAUUAGUUUUAAGGUAUCGUCCUAUUUCCAAGUGGUCUGAUGCACAGAAGGAAAUCUGGGUAAAGAUAGGCACUUAGCACAUCAGAAAAUUGCUGCCACAAGGCCCAUGUACUUUAGUCCCUAAAUGUGCUGAGAAAACAUCAGUGCAUCCCAAGAUUAGCCCUACCUUUAGCUCUAUGCCGGAGUAUUUAGACUUAAACAGAAAAGCAUCAGUGUAAUAAGAUUGGUUCUUGCCUGGUUAUUUCUGGCAACCUGUCAGGUUUCCUUGGUUAUAGGCAGAAAGUAUCCUGUUUUUCUUGACUAACAGCAGUGACAAUUAAGAGACAAGAACUUUAAAAACACAACCAGCUGAAGCUAGAGGGCAAAAAGACAUGUAGCUCUCAUAAUUCACAAAGCAAAAUUCCUUUGCUAUGUAGUAAUUGUUUACAAGUGGACAUAAUUUUAAAAAACGGUAUCUACAUCUUGCGAUUGGUUAGGGAUUCAGUUGCAUAAUUAUGUAAAAUGCUCACCCAAUUCAGUCUAAUAACUCACUCUAUGACCUUGGGCAAGUGACCUAUUACUUUGUGCCUGUGUCAUUAUCUGUUAUCUGAAUGGAAUUCAUAGGAUACUUGCCUCAAGGUUUAAUGAAAUACGUAUAUAGCAUUUCAUAAAAUGCUUUUUAUAUAGCAAGUGUUCAACAAAUGUUAGUUAUUAAUGCUAUUAUGAGGUCAUUAUAGAGAGGCAGUGUGGUAAUAGAGGGAAAAACACAGAUAUCGGUGAGAGACUUGGGUUUGAAUUCUGGCUCCACCGAUUUCCAGUUUCUGGCCUCAAGCAAGUCAUUUCCCCUCAGAGCUGCAGUUUUCCCAUUUGUAAAAUGGAACUUUAUAAUAGUACUCUUCUUAUAGUAUACAGUACAGAGUGUUUAAAGCACAUUGCAGUGCCUGUCCUAUAAAAAAGCUCAGAUGUGGCCAGGCACAGUGGCUCCCACCUGUAAUCCCAGCACUUUGGAAGGCCAAGGCAGGCAGAUCACUUGAGGCCAGGAGUUCAAGACCAGCCUGGCCAACAUGGGGAAACCCUGUCUCUACUAAAAAUACAAAAAAUUACCUGGGUGUGGUGGCGCAUGCCUGUAAUCUCAGCUACUGCAACCUCUUGGCUCACUGCAGCCUCCGCCUCCUGAGCCCUUUUGAUUCUCAUGCCUCAGCCUCUGGAGUAGCUGGGAUUACAGGCGCAUGCCACCACUCCUGGCUAAUUUUUCUGUUUUUAGUAGAGACGGGAUUUCACCAUGUUGUCCAGACUAGUCUCCAGCUCGUGGUCUCAAGUGAUCCCAUGCCUCGGCCCCAGAGUGUUGGGACUAUAGGCAUGAGCAUCGUACCUGCCCAAUACAAAGAUUCUUAUAACUUUUUUUUUUUUAAGUUUAGAUGAACAAAUGGGUAAACUUCAUUCCUCAGUGAUCCUGCAAAAAUUAGAAUUCUG